rnacentral:lncRNA from 1 species
UUUGAGGUAUGUUUUGGAGAUGACCUUAAGGCUGGUCACAAUGGGGAGGAACUUAGCAGUAACAUCACACACUUCAAUACAAUUUUGCUUAUGUGGCACAUAUUUAAUGAAAAGAGAGGUGCUUGUGGUAACUAGCUAAGUUACCGGAACAUCACACACUCCAACAAACAAUGAGUCUAUAGCCUAAUAAAUGCAUUGUUGCAUGACACUACAUAUAUGUUACUCCCCAUUGUGGAGGUAGGAACAUAGUCUAGAAAAGUGUGUAGGUUCCUACCUUAUGUUACUCCCCCAUUGUGACUAGCCUAACCUGAAAUUUCCCCUGGCAGAAGAACUCGGGUCAUUCUAUGCGCAUAACGGUCUCGUGUCGUUUCUGUGUAAAUUAGGCGUGUCAUCGUAAAAUCGUGUGGAUCAACCAGACGCCGAAACCGAUACAGUACUCGACACUCGCACAGCGCCUCCACCGUGUAUACCCGUGACCAGGAUCGCGCCAGGCGUCUAC